UCGAUAGUCUUUCGCCCCAUGCGCAGAUUUGACGAUCGAUUUGCACGUCAGAACCGCUGCGAGCCUCCACCAGAGUUUCCUCUGGCUUCACCCUAUCCACGCAUAGUUCACCAUCUUUCGGGUCCGAACAGUUAUGCUCUUACUCAAAUCCAUCCGAAGACAUCAGGAUCGGUCGAUGAUGCACCCGUAAGGGCUCUCACCUCCGUUCACUUUCAUUACGCUUGAGGGUUUAACACCCAAAAACUCGCAUAAAUGUUCGACUCCUUGGUCCGUGUUUCAAGACGGGUGGCUGAUGACCAUUAUGCCAGCAUCCUAGCCGAAGCGCGGUCCUCAGUCCCAGCGGCGGUAUUACACAGCAGGCUAUAACACUCCCGGGGGAGUCACGUUCCUGAAGUCUUUAUCCCGCCGCCGAAACUGAUGCUGGCCUCAACCAAGCGGAGUGCACCGGUGAGAACACCGGAUGAUCCGCAAGGCAAAGGUCUGGUCACAAGCCCUUCCCUUUCAACAAUUUCACGUACUAUUUAACCCUCUUUUCAAAGUGCUUUUCAUCUUUCGAUCACUCUACUUGUGCGCUAUCGGUCUCUGGCCGGUAUUUAGCUUUAGAAGAAAUUUACCUCCCAUUUAGAGCAGCAUUCCCAAACUACUCGACUCGUCGAAGGAGAUUUACAGAGGCUCGGCAUCCAACCGUACGGGGCUCUCACCCUCUAAGGCGUCCUGUUCCAAGGAACUCGGAAGGUACCUAACCAAAAUCAUCCUCUACAAAUUACAACUCGGACCCGAGGGCCAGAUUUCAAAUUUGAGCUGUUGCCGCUUCACUCGCCGUUACUAGGGCAUCCCUGUGUCUUACCCCAGU
rnacentral:rRNA from 1 species